rnacentral:rRNA from 1 species
GGCGUCGGGAAACUGACGGGAAUCCCCCAUACCGGUCUCACGCUGGAAUGCCGAGACCGACAAACGUUCCGGCGCUGCAGGAUGCGGCUGCGGCCGAUUAGGUAGUCGGUGGGGUAACGACCCACCGAGCCGAUAAUUGGUGCGGGGUGUGAGAGCACGAGCCCGGAGACGGAAUCUGAGACAAGAUUCCGGGCCCUACGGGGCGCAGCAGGCGCGAAACCUUUACACUGCACGAAGGUGCGAUAAGGGGACUCCGAGUGCGAGGGCAUACAGUCCUCGCUAUUGUGUACCGUAGGGUGGUACACGACCAAGAGCUGGGCAAGACCGGUGCCAGCCGCCGCGGUAAUACCGGCAGCUCGAGUGAUGGCCGAUUUUAUUGGGCCUAAAGCGUCCGUAGCUGGCCCUGCAAGUCCGUCGGGAAAUCCACUCGCCUAACGAGUGGGCGUCCGGCGGAAACUACAGGGCUUGGGACCGGAAGACUUGAGGGGUACGUCUGGGGUAGGAGUGAAAUCCUGUAAUCCUGGACGGACCGCCGAUGGCGAAAGCACCUCAAGACGACGGAUCCGACAGUGAGGGACGAAAGCUAGGGUCUCGAACCGGAUUAGAUACCCGGGUAGUCCUAGCCGUAAACGAUGUUCGCUAGAUGUGGCACAGGCUACGUGCCUGUGCUGUGUCGUAGGGAAGCCGAGAAGCGAACCGCCUGGGAAGUACGUCCGCAAGGAUGAAACUUAAAGGAAUUGGCGGGGGAGCACUACAACCGGAGGAGCCUGCGGUUUAAUUGGAUUCAACGCCGG